AACCGAAAAAAACCGCACCGAUCACCGAACCGCAGCCGAAAAAAACCACACCACACCGAAUCUGGUCGGUUCCGAACCGAAAAACCGAACUGUUCACGAAACGACGUCGUUUCGUAUAUGUUUAAUCGGAAACCCUAAACCUCUCUCCCAGUCCCUCACUCUAUCGACUCCUCUCUAUCUCAUUCCGCCUCCCAGUCCGGCAGUCCCGAUCGCAAUUCGACCUCAGCGGCUCAGCCCGACAGCCCCGACACCGGUCGUGAUUCGACCUCAUCCCGACAGCCCCGACCCCGAUCGCUCUCUGUGCUUCCUGCAUCGCUGAUCGAUCUCCAGGUUUGAUCUCCACCUUGGGCUUUCAUGUCUGCUUGUAUUAUACCAAUACGACAUCGUUCGGUUCCACAAUUGCCAAUGCCAAGCUGCAACUAAAACCGCAAAGUCCCUAUACCCUUUUUUCAAAACCUCCAAACAAAAACCCACGGUAACACUUGAGCCCAAGAAUCCAACCAUGGCCGAUUCUGGAGCUAACCCUAAACAGAGACAACCCAAGAAGAACAAGAAGAAGAGAAAGCAGAGCGAACCCCAAGAAUCUGAAAGGCCGCCCAAAACUAACCGCACCAAUUCAUCAGAGAACGAGAAUGAACCACAAGACCAAAACUUUGAAGUCGGAAAAGCUGAAAAACCCAAUCAAGGUGGUCCAUGGAGGAACCUGGAGUUAAUUCUGUCAAUCCAGGACAGAGAGCUUGAUCUUCACAAGAAGGUGGAACUAGCUCAUGGUUUUGUGAUGUCGAGGGUGAAGGAAGAAGGAGGCAGCAGUGAUGAGGAUAAUCAAGCAGUGAACAUGUCACGUUUAGUAAUUUUUGUCAGUGAUUGGAUCCAGUCAUUGUUGAUUUCCGAAGGAAAGAAAGUUGAGAGUGGUGGAGAGAAGCAUCAAGCUGAAGUUAUUUAUACGUAUUUGGAUUUAAGAUGCUGGGAGAUUUUCAAAUUCUGUUUGGAGGAGUCUCUGAAAUUAAAUGUUUCGUUAAGUUUCUCACGGAACCUUUUACGCUCUAUAUGUUGGAUUGCAAGGAGCGCACUGUCCUUAUUGAACAAAAAAAUUAUUGGUGAAGGGUUACAAUUGUACACUACUGUGCUUGAUUGUAUUUCUUUGGUAUUUUCAUCCCAAGAAGGCUUCUCAAAUGAAAAUUUAGACAUGUGGAUUAUAACUGUAAGUUCAGUUCUUGACCUUGGACACAAAUUUUACAGUGAAGCUCUUGUUAGUGGCAAUGAGGGUGUAUUUGUUUUCCAAUUCUUGUGCUUGGUGCUUGAGCCAUUUGCCAGGUUUUUAAGGGCUCACGCUCGGAAAGAUGGAUUUCGUGAUUUUAGUAAUAAGCUCCUUGAGCCUCUGUUGCAUCUCUUGGGUCUCUUGCAUCUCCAGAUUGGUGGAAGUAAUCCUGGUUGGAGAAGAAACUUACUGAAGCUUGUUGAAGAUGUAUUAUCUCAUGGGCUAUAUCACCCGCUCCACAUUGAUGGGUUUUUGAGCUUAUGCAGUACUGAAAAAGACACCACAUCCAAUGAUGGGAAGUCAAAAGAUUCCAAAACAAUCAACCAGAGUUAUCAUAGACAUUUAUUUGAUAAAGUGGAAGGAAUUUUAGCUGCAAAGAAUGCAUUUGCAGUAGAAAGCAUAGGAGUAUUGUUUCACUUGCUUAUUGAUCAAGUUAAAAAGCUAAAGAGGGAUUCAGCGCUGACUGCAAGUACCAAAAUGAUGGGGAAGAGUGAAGGUUCAAGGCAGUUAGAAGAUAGUUCAUUGGGUCAAACGUCUAUGAUAUCUUCUGAGAGUCGUAUUGUUGAAAAGAAUUAUUGCUCAACUAGUUUCAAUCCAGGAACACGAAAGUCACUUCACGAUUUUUUUGUACUGAUUAUGGAGCCUCUUUUGCUUGAGAUCAAUGGCUUUCUUGAAACUAAGCUGAAAGUGGGCCCUGAAUUGUUGGAUAUUCAUUGCACACUUAAAGCUAUAAAUAAUGUACUUUUGGUCUUUAUGCAUGAAAAGAUUUAUGUGAGAACAGAGGAUGCCUCUGACGGAGCUUCUCUUAAUUUCUUGAAGAAGGUUUAUAAUAUUAUCAUCUCAUUGUCCUCAGAUUUAAUUCAGUUGUCAGUUACACACUCAGAUAAUUUUAGUCUAAUAGCAAAUGAGGUACUUUCUGCUGUUGGCUAUCUUAUGGAAAUUGAAUAUGAUGUUCUAGAGAAUGAUCUAGUAAGCUUGUGGUUAAUGAUCCUCUCUUACUGGGCCAUUGGGCUUUCUUUGGUGGAUUCUCCGGAUAGAUGCUCAUUAUUCUCCAAGAUAACAGAUAUUGGAUGCCAAUUAAUUAUGCUCUAUAGUCAACUUCGCCAGGUGAAUAAUACUAUCUUUGCAUUGUGUAAAGCAAUAAGGGUUAUUAAUUUACAUAAUAGCGAUGGUCAACUGAACUAUACUAGAUUUGUCAUUCCUUUUCAUGGUGAAGCAUAUGCAAAAGCUGUGGAAAUGCUAUUAUCUGCACAUGAAUUCAAAAUUGCAAUUCAUAAAGCAAUGAAGUCCAUACCAGAAGGACAAGCAAGUCAAUGUAUUCGGCAGUUAACAUUGGAUAUAUCAGAAUCUCUAGAGUGGAUGAAAGUUAGUUGUUCGGAGGCUGAUGAAAAAGAAUUUUCUGAAUGCCAUCUAAGUAGCUUACACAGUUUUAAUCUGGAAGCUGAACUUUUUGGGAGAGGGUUGUCAGAAAUAUAUGCAUUAUUCCUAGAGUCAUUGAUUGUCACAACUGGAAACUGUAACCUUCUUGGCGUCUCUAUAAAGGAAUUAAUUAGAGUGAUUUUCCCUUGCAUGAGCAAUCUGGUUGGACCACAGCAGGAGGAUGCUGUAAACAAAUUCCUAUGGUCUGUCGCGGUAAAAGAUUCUGACAAUGUGAUCGAUAGAAACAAAAACAAAUAUAUGAUAUUUGGAGUCUCCACUUAUUGGGUAGUUUUGUUCUUCUUUCGAUUGUAUAGCUCCUGCCGAUGCUUAUAUAGGCAAGCAGCAAUCCUUAUGCCUCCAGAUUUAUCAAGAAAGAUGUCUGCAGAAAUGGGAGAUUCCUUCUCUUCAUUCUCUGGCAGGGAUUGGAUGGAAAUGUCUGAUUGGAUCAAUGGGGGAUUUUUCUCUUGGAUUGUACAACCUUCAGCUUCUCUGUUUUCUUUUAUUCAAUCUGUUUCAAACAUCUUUUGUAAGGGCCGUGCAGCUGAUUCUUGUCCUUUAACUUAUCUAAUGCAUGCUAUGGCUUGUGAAAGGCUUGUAGAUUUGAAUAGUCGUAUAAAGUCUUUUGAAUAUUUGAUUGAAAUUGGUGACAAUCUGGUGCAAGUUGCGGAGAUCUCUUCUUUGAGGCAAGAGGCAGCAGGACUCACGGGAUUUAUGAUGGAGCACCUCUCAUUAGUGUCUGAAGAUCAACAGCGAAUAUUCAUUUCUGCUGAUACGACUAAUAAUAAGAUGGUUGACUAUGAAAGUGAUGAAUGGGAUUUCAGUAUUUGCUCUGUGAACAAGAAGUCAUUGCCAACUGCACUUUGGUGGGUUGUUUGCCAAAAUAUUCAUGCAUGGUGCCCUCAUGCCUCUAAAAAGGAUUUGAAGAGAUUCCUUUCUCUUUUAAUCCAUACUUCAAUUCCCUAUGUAAGAAGCAGCUUUGGAGUGGUUAUAGAGCACAAGAACCAUGAAGCUGACAGGCUGAAGAAUGUGGCAUUGCAUCAAAUCUCAUCACAGUGCUUUAUUGAUUCCAGUCUGUAUGAGCAAAGAUUUGUCCGCAGGUAUUUUGCAAAGAGGUUCUGCCGUGCAUUGGAGAAAUCUACAUUACCAUUCAUCAGCGACUUUCCAUCCGGCAAUGUUAAAUUCAAAUCAUCACCUAAUUGGCCAAAUGUCUUAAGUGAUUUAGAGAACUCAUCAUUGGCUAUUUCCGGCAAUAAACUCAAUGUAUUUGAUUGUUCCUCAGCCUCAAGUUGCAAGGGACAAAACUCCCAACCAUCUACCAUCAUGAAAUUUGCAGCUUGUCAGAGUUUGCUUAAUCUUUUGAGUUGCAUGCCAAAAGGUCAUUUGGACACGAGAUCAUUUUCACGUUAUGUGACUUCUAUUCUGAACCUCGAAAGGAUUGUUGUUGGCGGCUUAUUAGAUUAUCAGAAUGCUUCAUACUCAACUUAUUAUUAUGAGCUCUUCAGAUUGUUUGUGUCCUGUCGGAAGGCCUUAAGAUGUAUAAUUACUGCUUGUGAGGAGACAGUAGCCAGUCAAACCUCAGACACUGUACUCUUUGAGGAUUUAUUUCCAGUUUCAUGGCUUUACAAGUCAGUGCAUAUGGUUAUUGGGCUUCAAGAAUCAUUCUCAAAAGAUAUUUAUCAUCAAGUUCAUGAUAUGAUCUUGGCGUUAAUGGAUCACACGUUUUAUGUGUUUCUGACAUUAAAUAAAUAUCAAUCCAAUCAUGCUGUUCGUUUCCUUGAGGUUGCUGAGCUGAAUUUUGGAUGUGCCCAAGAACAGAGAAGUUUAUUGAAUUCGUCCAAUUAUAUUGAAGCCUGGAAAAGUGUAAACGUUGUUGCUAAGAUUUUGAAGGAACAGAUGCAGAUCUUACUUGUAAAUGUGAAGAAUGGCAUUUGUAAUGGAAAAGAGGAAGUUUCUGUUGAUGCUUUAAAUUUGAACAAGUUUGCUUCCAUAAUUUCGUGUUUUAGUGGGUUUUUAUGGGGCCUAGCAUGCGUUGUGAUCGACACAGAUGGGAGAAAUAGUGAUGAGAAAGCUAAGUUGUCAAGGUGGAAACUUGAACCAAUCUCCGAACUCAACCUCUGUAUAAAGGUUUUUGAAGAAAUUUCUAGUCUUCUACUACAAAUGUUUAUUCUUGACGAUAAUCAGCAAUCCACAACUAUAUGUCAUGCCUAUAAUCUUGAGAAGUCAGGCUACAAUUUAGAUUUGUUGGGUGCAGAGAAGAUUUUGCCGGAAGGCAAUGAUGCUGACACUGAUAUGGCAUGUGGUGGACUGCAGGAUGAAUCUGCAGUUGCAGUGACGUGCUCAGCAUUAUCUGACAUCUGUGAAGACUCUGUAAUUGGUAGUGUUCAUAGAAGAAGACCGCGCUUGAAAGAUGCAAAUAGUGUUGUUACUGUUCUCACUGCUGUUGAUUCAUUUGAACUGCAAUCUUUAAAUAAGCCUUUGUUGAGAAGCAUGCUAAAAGGUGAUUUCCCCAACGCAGCAUUCUUACUGAGGCAGUUGUUAAUCGCCUCUUCUGCUAUUUUAAGGCUAAAUUUGCAUAUUAAGAGCGCUCCCAUGUUGUCAAGCUUGGUGCAUAAGUUUGCUGGCAUUAUGCAAGUCUUGUUAUUGGAAUCAGCGGACGCAAGUCAGGUGCCACACUUCUAUUAUUUUGUGUGUUUAGAUGGUGUUCUGAAGUAUCUGGAAGAAUUAGGGAAUCAUUUUCCUUUGACUAAUCCUACCUUAUCCAGAGAUUUGUUUGACAAGAUGGUUCAGCUACAGUUACGGGCUCUAGGGAAAUGCAUAACUUUACAAGGGAAAAGAGCAACUCUUGCAUCUCAUGAAACAAGCACCAACACACCCUUAGGAGAAAGGAGAUUUUCUGAAGCAUCAUCUUUUUCUGGCUGGGAAUAUUUAUUGGAUGAAUUCAAAGCUAGGUUGAGGUCAUCAUUUGCAGUGUUCAUAAAGAAAUCAACAGAGUUGCAUCUCCAAUCUGCAGUUCAAGCUAUCGAAAGAGCCCUAGUUGGUGUACGGGAAGGGUGCACAGUGAGGUAUGACAUAUGUGCUGGAAGUGAAGAUGGAGGAAAGGUUUCUUCAAUUGUUGCAUCUGGCAUUGAUUGCUUGGAUUUGGUUUUGGAAUUUGUUUCAGGACGCAAUUUGAUUGUGGUUAAAAAAUACAUUCAGAGGUUAAUUGCCUGCAUGUUCAAUGUUAUUCUGCAUCUGCAGAGUCCACUAAUCUUCUAUGAGAGAUUCACUCUGAGUAAAGAUGAUACUGAUCCAGAUCCAGGAACAGUCAUUCUUAUGUGUGUUGAUGUACUGGCAAGAAUUUCUGGCAAGCAUGCAAUAUACAAAAUGGAUGUCUGGCAUGUAGCACACUCGUUACGUAUACCUUCAGCACUUUUUGAAGAUUUCCAUCUGUUAAAACAUUCUAAAUGUCCUGUUCCAAAUGAUUCUUCAACAAGUCCAAAUAACCAACCAUCCGACCCUGUAGCAAGUGUACAUGUCUCUGGCAUAGAUAGGCAAUACUCAAUCGGCCUAUAUUCUGCUUGCUGCCGAUUAUUGCAUAAUGUUGUGAAGCAUCACAAAAGUGAAUGCGAGGGGUAUGUUGCUCUACUUCAAGCUUCUGUUCGUGUUCUUGUUUAUUGUUUGGAGACAUUGGAUGCUGUUGUGGUAGCCAGGGAAGGCUUCUUUUCAUGGGAAGUAGAAGAAGGAGUCAAAUGUGCAUGUUCUCUCAGAAGGAUUUAUGAAGAGCUAAGACAUCAAAAAGAGGUCUUUGGUCCACACUGUUACCACUUUUUAGCUUAUUACAUACAGGUUUAUUCAGGAUAUGGCCCCCGCAAAACAGGCAUCAAAAGGGAAAUAGAUGAAGCUCUAAGACCAGGUGUAUAUGCGCUGAUAGAUGUUUGCUCACCUGAUGAUCUUCAACGUCUUCAUACCUCAUUUGGAGAGGGUCCUUGCAGAAACACUUUGGCAACCUUGAAGCACGAUUACGAACUCAAUUUCCAGUACCAGGGAAAAGUCUAAGCGAAGCUUAUUUCUGUGGCUAACGAUUUGGACGUGAAAGUAACAAAGCUGCUUGUUAUCACUAAAUUGGAUAACCCGAAGUCAUGUUGUAGGUAACUACCUAAAAGUGUCUUAUUGUGGUAUGCGGUAGCUGUAAUCACAUUGUGAGUCUGAACCAUUGACCGGAUGGAAUUGACUCAGCUAGAUUGAAAGAAUGGUAUGCCAGCAAGAGUCUCCUACCUAAUGUGUAAGAUCCUAACCCUCCAAUUGUGAGUUACUGAAAAUGACCUCUACCCGACUAUGGAUUUUUAUGUAAAAUGCCUUGUCCACCCACUACCCUCUUCAGCCGGCCCUAUGUCAUUUGGAUCAUUUAGUGAUAAUAUUCCUUACGGUAUCAUUAGGCUGGUAUGAUAACGAUUGAUUGAGAUUUGAGAGCAACCACCAAAUUCUAAAACUCCAAAAGACCAUACAUAAAUACUUGUGCGGUCUAGAUAUAGACUUGGAUGUAGAAGUCUUUUUUUAUAUGUUGGUUUCAAAUUCUACCUAUUUUUCUUCUGAAAUAAAAGCUCUCAUUGAGAAAGAACGGUCAUUGAAUCUUGAUGGGUCAUCAUUGUUGUAGAACAGAAGCCCCUUCUUCAUACCCAGUUCUGGUCUUCUUGGCAGUGACUGUUGUACUUCUUCUCUUGUCAACUUUGAUCUCGUCUUUUGAGGUCGUAGCCCCCAAAUUUGAGAUCAAUUUGGGUCUCAUAGCCGCACCAUUGCUGUUGCUUGCCGUUGUUCAUUGGUUGUCAUCAAUGGAAACGAAGAAGCCCUAUAUGAUGCCACCAUGUUGCAAGUGCAGGCAUGCUUGUAAGUGCGGCUACUUCUGAAACGAUCAUGUCGCUGUAUUUAUCAAAACUCAUAAGAGCUGGUUUGUCUAGUACUCGGUUAAGAUAAAGAGGGUUCAUGUGUUUAUUGGUUUCUUUAUGUUAUAUGUACUGGGUUGAAUUGGUGUUCGUACAAGUACACCAAAUUUGGGUACUCUGAUUGUUGUAACAUGACAAAAUGAUUGUAAAAGUUGUUUUUCAUUUUGUUUUAUUAGAAGGGAUAACCCCAGCUCUAUCUCCAA